rnacentral:misc_RNA from 1 species
UCAAACUUGGUCAUUUAGAGGAAGUAAAAGUCGUAACAAGGUCUCCGUUGGUGAACCAGCGGAGGGAUCAUUACUGGAUCGUCGAAAGACGUCUCCUUACACCCAAUGUGAAUCUUACCUAUCUGACGUGCUUCGGCAGGAGGUUAUCCUCUGUGGUGACUCUCUGGCCUUCAAGGUGCCUGCCGAAGUACACAACCAUUUUCAAAACCAUUGAAAUCUUAGCGUAUCUUCUGAUUGGUUAUAAAACUAUAACAACUUUCAACAAUGGAUCUCUUGGCUCUGGCAUCGAUAAAGAACGCAGC